rnacentral:tRNA from 3 species
UGGGGCGUGGCCAAGUGGUUAAGGCACCGGGUUUUGAUCCCGGCACCGGAGGUUCGAAUCCUCCCGCCCCAGCCA